GNGGGGGUCUAUAAUGCAGUCGAGCGGACCGACGGGAGCUUGCUCCCUUAGGUCAGCGGCGGACGGGUGAGUAACACGUGGGUAACCUGCCUGUAAGACUGGGAUAACUCCGGGAAACCGGGGCUAAUACCGGAUGCUUGAUUGAACCGCAUGGUUCAAUCAUAAAAGGUGGCUUUUAGCUACCACUUACAGAUGGACCCGCGGCGCAUUAGCUAGUUGGUGAGGUAACGGCUCACCAAGGCGACGAUGCGUAGCCGACCUGAGAGGGUGAUCGGCCACACUGGGACUGAGACACGGCCCAGACUCCUACGGGAGGCAGCAGUAGGGAAUCUUCCGCAAUGGACGAAAGUCUGACGGAGCAACGCCGCGUGAGUGAUGAAGGUUUUCGGAUCGUAAAACUCUGUUGUUAGGGAAGAACAAGUACCGUUCGAAUAGGGCGGCACCUUGACGGUACCUAACCAGAAAGCCACGGCUAACUACGUGCCAGCAGCCGCGGUAAUACGUAGGUGGCAAGCGUUGUCCGGAAUUAUUGGGCGUAAAGCGCGCGCAGGCGGUUUCUUAAGUCUGAUGUGAAAGCCCCCGGCUCAACCGGGGAGGGUCAUUGGAAACUGGGGAACUUGAGUGCAGAAGAGGAGAGUGGAAUUCCACGUGUAGCGGUGAAAUGCGUAGAGAUGUGGAGGAACACCAGUGGCGAAGGCGACUCUCUGGUCUGUAACUGACGCUGAGGCGCGAAAGCGUGGGGAGCGAACAGGAUUAGAUACCCUGGUAGUCCACGCCGUAAACGAUGAGUGCUAAGUGUUAGAGGGUUUCCGCCCUUUAGUGCUGCAGCAAACGCAUUAAGCACUCCGCCUGGGGAGUACGGUCGCAAGACUGAAACUCAAAGGAAUUGACGGGGGCCCGCACAAGCGGUGGAGCAUGUGGUUUAAUUCGAAGCAACGCGAAGAACCUUACCAGGUCUUGACAUCCUCUGACAACCCUAGAGAUAGGGCUUCCCCUUCGGGGGCAAAAUGACAGGUGGUGCAUGGUUGUCGUCAGCUCGUGUCCUGAAAUGUUGGGUUAAGUCCCGCAACGAGCGCAACCCUUGAUCUUAGUUGCCAGCAUUCAGUUGGGCACUCUAAGGGGACUGCCGGGGACAAACCGGAG
rnacentral:rRNA from 1 species